ensembl:lncRNA
AUAAAAUGGGCAUGAUUCCUGCUUCUUUGAAGCUUUCUAUCUAUAUUCACUCUAGCUAAACACAAGAAAAAAAAGAAAGAAUCAUGAAAUUAUUUCCGCCAGUGUCCUACUUACUCAUCAAGGAAGAGAGAAAAUUGUGAUGAAAGAUUUUGGAACUCAAAAAAGUCUCUUGAGAAAUGACUUGCAGUUCGGGCUAAUUCAUAAUCCAGCUCAGGACACUCUUGAGAUCAAAAGGAGGAAUUAUUCCAAGACAGGGAAACAACCUAAAUGUUCACUGAUGAAUGGCAGAUAUAUCCUGGAUCACCUCCCAUAUUCAGAAAGUUAUAGGAGGCAUUGUGCUUGGGUUAUAAGGACACAGUGAUGGACAAAACACAGCAUGGCUUCUGCCUUUAUAAAGCUUUCCACUUAGUGAAGGAGACAGACUACAAAGAA